rnacentral:rRNA from 1 species
UCUCAGUUCGGAUUGAGGCUGAAACCCGCCUCCAUGAAGUUGGAUUCGCUAGUAAUCGCGCAUCAGCCAUGGCGCGGUGAAUACGUUCCCGGGCCUUGUACACACCGCCCGUCAAGCCAUGGGAGCCGGGGGUGCCUGAAGUUCGUGACCGCAAGGAGCGACCUAGGGCAAAACUGGUGACUGGGGCUAAGUCGUAACAAGGUAAC